rnacentral:lncRNA from 1 species
AGCGGGAACGUCCGCCCUGCUCUCUGGGUUCUGAAGAACACAGUCGUGAAGGAUGUAAGCCAUUUCACAUUUUAAGACGAAACAGAUAACUUGUGCUAAAUGCAUGUCCCAGCCCUGCCCUGAGGAGACAAGGAAGUCGAAGCGGGUAAGGGCGCAGGAGGCCGGAUUUCCUGUGAUGCUGGACACGUGGCAGGACGCGGGGAGAGGGGAAGCCCUGGAAGGUUGCCUGCUCUGCAGCAGCUGGAGGGAGCAAGACAGCCCUGUGGCUGGCAGGGUCAGAAGAAAUCUAAGAGGACUAAGAGCCAUAGCCUGCCCUCGAACUCAGUAGAUCUUAUGCACGAAAUCAUCAAGUGGAAAUAUGAAAAGUAGUGUAAAAUACACCCACUCACAGGGAUUUUAAAGAUAUGCCUACCAACAAGAGCAAACAUUUACAAGAAACCCCAAGAUGAUUUGGAGAGGGAAACGUGCUGGGCUGGGAAGGAAAGAGGUUGGAGGCUGCAGCCCAGCUUUGAGGCUAUGAUGGUCCAGUCGCUGUCAGAGCCGGCAAUGCUUACAUAGAGAAUAAAAUGAACACCCCACCCCACUGGGGUUACUGCUGAUCCACACAGAUGCACACUCCCACUUCCCUGCAUCCUCACGUUCACUACAUUCAUCUCCAUCUGAUUAUCAAGUUGCAAACUGGACCAGUGCCAAACAGCAACUUCUGUUAUAAAAUCUCUCUCAAUCUAAUUCCCACAUGGGAGAAAGGCACCAGGAAGAUGGAGCGGCCCCAUCUUCCUCUCCAAAUGAAACCCGACUAAGACAGUCCAACCAGCCUGUGUUCCCAGAGACAGCUCCCAGCUUCAGAUGCGGCAGCCUGAUGUUGAUGAGGUCAAGUCACAGAUCCAAGACUCACAACUUCUUUUCUUAUCCAGAGUGUGUCCAUUAACCUGGAGGCACGUCCAAGAGUCCUUGAAGCUGUAACCAAUGGCAGUAGCACGGAGUGCAGGUGCGUCAGCCCAUUCCAUGCCACUGCCAGCAGAGCCACCUGAGCAUCCCCAGAACGGAGACCCCUUGACCUUCCCAUUUUUUACCAUGUGGCACAGCUCCUCUGUUCUGGGGGGAAAUCAUCCUAAGAAAGGAUACUGUGUUGCUAUUGACACAGGAAAAAUACGCUUGGGCAUUUCUGAACAUGAGAACGUCGCUGAAUGGCGUUAGAAUCAUAAACACCAUUUCUUUAGCCUCUGAGACAUCAUGAUUAUGAUAUUGUAAUGGCCACAUGGUCUGAGCAUUCGCCCAUGUCAGGCUGGAGCUCGCUAACCACCUGAAGGUGCACACCAUGAGCCAGCUUCACAGUCAGCUUUGGAUGAGGCCGCCGGGCAGAUCCAGGCCCCCCACAACCAGGCCGCUGCAGGGUAUCCCACUGCCUGGCUACCUGACUACCUGCGCAGGACUGCGGCGCUGUCUCACCUCUAGCCAUGCAAAGCGAAAACCUCUGCGAUUGCUUCUGGAAGGGCCGCUGGCAGAGGCACUUUUCCAUUGGUGGAGGAAGCCUCCCUUAGCUGAGCAACAGCUGCUGAACCCCAUGGUCCUCCUGCCUCCAGACAUUCCAAUCAUACCUCCACAUGGCUCUGCAGUAGAGCCCCACAUUUAUGGAUUGCAGCUGUAGCCUUUAUGGGUGGACUAUGAGUAAGGGAGGGGGGGAUAGUUGGAAGAAGGAACCGUGAGCAUGUGACUUCAGUGACACCUGUGCUCAGACCACAUAGUUUAAGUGUCAGCCUCCAUCUUGUGCUUAUUUUUAAACCAUUACUAAUAACUUGACCAACAAUCAUAAUGCAGUUUCCCCCUUACCAACACAGUAUUCUCAGGAAAUUCAUGUUCAAAAUUCAGCAGAACAGAAUUCCUGCUAGAAAAAGCACUAACGUGGUGAACAGAACUCCUGGCUGAAAAACAUAUAAUUAGAAGAUGCAAGGGAGCGAUUUCCAGACUGCCAGCAGGGACUGAGCCACUCACCAACCAAGCCCCACAGACCACGUUUCGUCAGAGCAAACCUUGCCAGGGCUUCUCUGCCUCUUACAUCAGAGUGGGCCAUUGGGGUCGUCGGACAACAGCCUGGGCGCUGGUAAUUGCCUGUCUCUGUUGAGGGACGGGUACAGGCCACAGGGAAGGUCCACGUUUCCUACACUAUCUGGAGAAUCUAAAUUGCUACAAUAUUUUAAAUAUGCCUUUAGUUGCAGGAAGGUGAGGGGUUAGCUGUGAAAUAACACUAAGAUAAUUAAAUACCC